rnacentral:rRNA from 1 species
UACGUAGGGUCCGAGCGUUGUCCGGAAUUAUUGGGCGUAAAGGGCUCGUAGGCGGUCUGUUGCGUCGGGAGUGAAAAACUUACAGCUUAACUGUGAGCGUGCUUCCGAUACGGGCAGACUUGAGGUAUUCAGGGGGAGAACGGAAUUCCUGGUGUAGCGGUGAAAUGCGCAGAUAUCAGGAGGAACACCGGUGGCGAAGGCGGUUCUCUGGACCGCAACUGACGCUGAGACACGAAAGCGUGGGUAGCAAACAGG